rnacentral:lncRNA from 1 species
GUAGAUCCUAAUGUUGCUCUCCCUGGAGCUGGGCUGCAGGAAGUCUGGGCCCCCGGCUCGCACUCCCGGACCCCGCACCAACCUCCAGGGUCGCUCUCCAAUCUUAACCAGGUUUGCUCCCUGAGCGUACCCAGGUGCUACAGCAUCAGCUUCCCUUGCCGCUUCCUGCGGCUGAAGGGAUGGUCCGACCAAAGCCUCCUGCCCUGGGGCAGCCGAUGCCACUGCAUGCUUUUUCCUGCGCUUGGGCUUCACGGUGCCACGGAUAUUGGCCGGCUUGCUGCGCUUGGAGCGUAGGGUAAUGUACACCACAUUGGGCUGCAGAGUGGACCCAUUGCCCUGGGACUCUGGAGGGGCCAGGGUACCAUCCAGGGGUAUCUCAGGGAAGGAUGGCUCGGCGGUGUCGCGGCUGCGAUGUGGCCCCUUCUCAGCCGCCUGUCCAUGCUGGAGAGAGGCCCUCCCCACCUGGCUCACCAGGAAGCCCAAGUAGAUGGCACACGCAGUGCCCAGCAGAAGGUUUCUCCGGGUCCUUGGACGCCGGCUGCUCCAGAGCUUACGCACCCGCGGGACGCACAGGGAGCAGAUGAACCAGUUUAUGAGCUGCCCCGGCUUGUCUGGACAGGUCAUUUCUCUGCCGCAUCCACAUGUUGAACGGAGUUUAAAGUCUGCAGUUGGCUCCUGCUAAUGUGAUGCAUGGUUUCCUGACUUCAGCUGCCGCGUCCGCUUCGGGAUGAAAUGACCAGUGCUUUGGUUAAGAAUGCACAUUAUACUGCAGUUCUUUGGGGAAUGAAGCCACCCUUGACUGAGGUAUUAUGCCAACUCUCACCCUGUGAAUCCACUGACUGGGGAACAUUGUUUAAGAAAAUCACAUGGCUGUGCCAACAAGCAAGGAGACACGGCACAGAAGACAGAGGCAGAAGCAGCUUUAUUGAAAAACAGAGCAUGAGUAGAACGACUUCAAAUCCCAUAUGGCACCACAGUGAGAAGUAACUUCCUCUGAGCUUCUUAGAGAAUCCAACAAUGUCCUGCUUCCUUGGGGAGCUGCAGCCAUGGGCACAUGGGAAUAGGGCUUCCACCAAGAGUCCCGUCAGUCACAGCAACAGGAGGUCUUCCUCAGACAACUUUGAUGAUAGUGGUUGUUAGCCAGAGCAAGCUAGAACCAGAAAGAAAAACUAUGAAGAUGCCACAGUGGGAGUCUGAGCACCUUGAGGCCUCCUGUUGGAAACUGGCAAACCUAACUGUGGGACACUUGGAUGCUGAGUUCUGGUAAACAUGCUGUCGGAGGCACGCCUCUAGGAUGGACCCCCAUGAUCCCCACCUCCUGGUAUCCGCGCCAUGAUGCAAUCUGCUUACAGCCUAAAUCAGGAUGAACCAUAUGACUCAUAGAACACUGCAGAAGGCAUGAUGUGUGACUUCAGAUGUGAAGUCAUAGAGGACAAGGACACAGCCACCUUCUUGGAUUUCUCACUCUGUGGAAGGGCAGUGACAUUCCAUGAGACAAGCAGUCCUGUGGUGAGGCCCAUGUCAAGAAGGCCUGAGAUCUCCCACCAUCAGCUACAGCCAAUUUGUCAGUCACGUGAGUAAACCACCUGGGACGUGAAUCCUCUCGACUUAACCACCUCUUCAGGUGGCCAGAGCCCUAGCCCAGGUCUGACUGCAACCUGAUGAGAAACCCUGAGUAGGAAGACCUGCUUGAGCUGCUCCCAAAUUAUUGAUCCACAGACACUAUGAGAGAUAAUACGUACUUAGUGUUCUUUUAACCCACUACAUUUUGGUUGGCUGUAUUUAUUACCCUGUAACAGAUGACUAAUACAUCUCCUGUGAUCAAAACACUUCAGAGGUUCCCCAUUUCUCUCAGAGAAAUAUCCAAAGUCCAUAAGGCCUGUGAGGCCCCUCACAUUCUUCCCACCCCCAUUACCUCUCUAACUCCAUUUUCUACCACUCUCCUUCUUUCCACCUCAACCACAGCUACAGUGACUUCUUUGCCCUUUCUCAAAUCUGCCUCAGGGCCUCUGUACUGGACACUCUCUCCCCACUCCCACUCCCUCCUCCAGGCCUUCACUGAAAUGUCUCCCUCUCAGUGAGGACUUCCUUUCCUAAACUGCAGUACCCCCAACCUACACACACACACACACACACACACACACACACACACAGAGUCUCUAGUCUUCCUAGCUCCUUAAUUUUUUUUUCCUUAGCACAUAUCACUAUUUCAUAUACCAUAUUUGUCAUCUAUUUUCUGGUUUCCCUUUCUCAGAUGUAAGCUAAGUUGGUGCAGGGGUUUUUGUCUGUUCCCAAUGUCUAGAAGAGUGUCUGAUUUACAGUAGACACUCCAUGAAAUUUGUCAAAUGAAUACACCAGUGUUAAGAGUAUAAGAGUGUAAUAGUACCUUUAAAAAUGCCUCAAAGAUAAAUCUUUUGAUUUAUCUUUAUUUUUAGAUCUCUACCCCCACUUUAGCCACUUCUGAAAUUUACUACUAGAAAAACCUUUUCUUUCGUGAAGAACUGUCUCACAAAAAUAGCAGUUAAAUAGGAAGCUAUCCUAACCCACUGUUUGCCUUUUCCCUUGUGAAACUCAGACCAAAAUUGAAAGUCAUCUAUUGUAACUAUGUGUUCUUGGCAUCUAAACUCUGUUUUGUUUCAUCUUGACUUUCUUAAUUUCCUAGGUUUUUUCCUUUGUUCCUAUUAUUUUAUUGUUUUUAUUCUAUAUUGCUUCAAAGACUUUAUGAAAUUAAGUAAAUUAUAAAUACAAAUAU